ensembl:miRNA
UUGUCCUACUUCUCAGCUGUCUUGACUCCCUAACAAGAUAGCAGAGGAGUAGGAGGACA